UAGGGAAUCUUCCACAAUGGACGAAAGUCUGAUGGAGCAACGCCGCGUGAGUGAAGAAGGUUUUCGGAUCGUAAAGCUCUGUUGUUGGUGAAGAAGGAUAGAGGCAGUAACUGGUCUUUAUUUGACGGUAAUCAACCAGAAAGUCACGGCUAACUACGUGCCAGCAGCCGCGGUAAUACGUAGGUGGCAAGCGUUGUCCGGAUUUAUUGGGCGUAAAGCGAGCGCAGGCGGAAUGAUAAGUCUGAUGUGAAAGCCCACGGCUCAACCGUGGAACUGCAUCGGAAACUGUCAUUCUUGAGUGCAGAAGAGGAGAGUGGAACUCCAUGUGUAGCGGUGGAAUGCGUAGAUAUAUGGAAGAACACCAGUGGCGAAGGCGGCUCUCUGGUCUGCAACUGACGCUGAGGCUCGAAAAGCAUGGGUAGCGAACAGGAUUAGAUACCCUGGUAGUCCAUGCCGUAAAACGAUGAGCGCUAGGUGUUGGGGACUUUCCGGUCCUCAGUGCCGCAGCAAAACGCAUUAAGCGCUCCGCCUGGGGAGUACGACCGCAAAGGUUG
rnacentral:rRNA from 1 species